UCCUAAGUGUGUCCUCCUAGGAGUGUCCAUUACCUAGAUACUUGGCUAACAGUCCAGGCAGUGACCUCCCACAGGCAUUGUUGCCACAGAGGACUGACUGCCCCCUGUCCAUCCAACCAUCCUUUUUAUAUGUGUGAAGGUACAGGAAACAGAAAGUGAUGUAAGUAGUUCUGGGAAAGUCGUAGCCCCAGCACUUGGUCUGCCUUCAGAAUGGUCACUGUGGACUCCCUGGGCUGUUCCUGGCCCUGAGCCAGCAGGAGAGGCACUUAACUCCCCAUCCUGAAGACCACAGAAGGGAUGAUGAUGAUCUCAGGAGCCUGGUGCCGCUGUACACACAUGCAAUGAGCCUCGGCUAGGAUAGGACUGCUGUGACCGUGGAAGUGGGCCCUGGUGGGUCUCCAUGCCACUUGCUGCUCCUACACCCCCUCCACAAGUUACAAGAAGCAGAGUGAACCCUGAGUCUCCUUCCCCUUUCACAAAUGAAAGUGAGAAAAAGAGACAACAGUUGAGAAAG